GGGUACCCUCCGCAAACAGAGUGCGCAGUUCUGGAUGAACUUAUUUCAAACUUUCCAGGAUGAUGACCACUUCACAGGAGACUUUUUGGACAAAAGUCUUAUAAAAUUCUGUUUCCUUAAUCUUGUUCAGGAUGAACUUGACGAAGUCGUCAACACAUGGAAUUCACACAAAAUCAAACAACGUUCAAGUGAUGGCGCAGCCUCGGGUCGGCCAUUUGUGAUGUACUCAUUCCCAGAGUUGCACAUUGCUGAAGAUAGACUCAAACCUAUUGCCAUGGAGGAGGUCACUUUGUGUAUGGAAGCGUGUACUCCCAAAGGCCAGUUUCCAUGCGAUGAAACGGUUUUUGACCUGUGUUGUCUACUAAUGGAGGAACAUGGAUGGGAUGCUCCAGCAGAUCCACUUGCUGCAGCUGAUCUGGACAUCAUGUUAAGAGAGGAAAUACAGCACAAUAUUUGAUGAAUGGAUCAUGUCCAUUAGGUAUUGGCCCUCCUCUUCGCCCCACUCAUCACUGCCUCUCCAUUCAACUGACAAGUUUUGGAUCACAAAAGACAUCCAGAAAGGGAGGAUCAGCUACUCCAACUUCUCAGGGACCUAAGGGCCAUGCCCAAAGCCAUGGUGAAGAUGUUGGGGUGACCUGAACUGUUUGUACUACAUUGUCCCAACCAAAUAAUUCAGCAUUGCUGUCUGUUGGCUUUUCAACAGUUGAAUAUUUGGGAUACAUCUAAGGACAUGAAGACAUAAAAGCAUAAUAUGGACAUCAAGAAUCUCUAGAGAACUGUCUACUGCUAUGGUGGACAGAACAGUGUAAUCUAUAAUUUGUUAUUCAUCAGUGUGAUUAUUCAUGGGUAUAACAUACCUAAUCAAUUUUGAGAAUGUAAGGGUGGCAUGUCUGAACUCUCUGUGAUUCAGAAAUCUGAUUUGGU